AUACGUAAUCUAAGUUUUCAUGUUAAUACGUGAAAAUUCAUAAGUUAAGUCAGUUACAAAUGAUAAAGUUUAGUGAAGGUGUAUCUAUGAAUUAACCAUUUCUAAAUCAAGUGCAAAACCUCCUUUCAAUCCAACCUACCCUGACCACUAUGAGGACGUCAAUCUUCUUUGUCAAGAUGAGGGGAAAAACUUUCAGGGAGAGAGGAAAAAAAAUCUCCUUUUGCAUUGUUUGAAAUUUUAAAUUAAAUAAUGAUAUUUUUAUAAAAUAUUAAAAAAGUUGUUUUUAAAUUAUAAGAAUUAUUUUGUAAUAAGCAAAUAAUAUAAUGAAAAUAUAUAUAAAAAGUUGGGAAACAAGUCACCAAAGAUAUACAAAUUCAUUAGCAGUUUUGUUCUAAUCGAACCGAUAUAUUUUAAAUCGGAAUGAUUAUAUCACUAUGAAAAAAUGAUAAAUUAAUUAUCGUUAGUACUUGACGAAGAAGACAAAUUAUCGUUGAUAAUGAAUAAUUGAACAAUGUCCCGGAUGAAAGGAUUUUCAAUACUCGAUAGAUUUUAAAUUUGGCGACAGUGAUUAAAAUAGCAAGACAAACAAAGUGAACGGUGUGGAUCGUCAUAAUUAUGUUGCGAUCGUUUGGCUACCAUACAUUAUCCUAUAGUAUAAUAAGUUGGUUUAGAACCAGGUAAGUUUGAUGUAAAUGAUUGAAAGGUAGGUACAGACUCGAUUUUUCGAAUGUUCAAUAUUUCAUAUUUUAUCAAUUCUAUAAUUUUUUUGAAAACGGUGGCGAACAUAUAUCGACAACCACCUGAUCGGAUCACAUUCGAUACAUCUAUGAGCAAUAAUAUCCUAUAAUGCAUGACUCGACAGCCAUCAUAGCAGGUUUUCGAAUCAGAAUCGUUUAUAUUUUAAGUCGGGAGUGAUUAUACCCACUAUGAAAAAAAUAAAUAAAUAUAAUUAAUGUUACGUACUUAAUCGAAUAAGACAAAUUGUCUGUGAUAUACAUGAAUAAAUCGACAUGAAUAAUGAAAUAAAAUGCAGUUUUAUUUGUAAAAAAUGAUUUUUUAUCUUCUUAUGGACUUAUAUGGGGCAUUGAGCCAUAAAAUCAAAAUUUUAACAUUUAUAUAUUUUGUAUCAAAAUUUAAUUUAUAUGUUCUCCUAAUUUUUAUUUUUGUAUUCAUAAUUUUAUUUAAAUUUUCAUAUUUGUUUUUCUUAUUAUGGCAUUUAAAAAAUUAAAUUUAUUUAAUAAAAAAUUUUUUUUAUUUUUUAUUUAUUAUUAUGGCCAUGGCCCAUGAACAAGGCAAAAAAGUGAGGGAGGUGGAAGAGUGUUGAGUGACCUCUAAAAAUUAUUUUUAUUUUCUUAUUUUUUAUUAUUAUGGCAAUAGCAAAUUCAUUUAUUUAAUUAAAAUGAUUUUUUACUUAUUAUGGCUCAUGAGGUCCAUCACGAAUUGAAAAUUUAAUUAAUGUAAUUAAAAAUUCUUUGACUAUUAUGUCCUAAUGGGCCAUGAGAAGUCAAAAUUUAAUUUUUGUAAUUUUUUCUUAUUCAAAAAUUCAUUUUUAAUUUUUUACCUCAUUUUUUUUACUUAUUAUGGCAAAUUAAUUUAUUUAAUUAAAUUUUAUUUUAAUUAAUAAUUAAUCAUUUAUUGCCACUUCCGUUUCGUGCCAUGCCAAUUAUCGUGCCUUACCCGUGUCGUGCCCUUGACACUUCCUUGUCGUGCCCGUGCCGUGCCUGACUAAGUUCGUGUCGUGCCGUGCCGUGUCGUUCCAAACCAAGUCAACUAUCGUGUCAUGCCCUUGCCGUGCCCGACUUUGACCGUGUCGUGCAAGGCCAACUACCAUGUCGUGCACCACCAUUUCCGUGCCCCGUGCCCGUGGUCGUGCCCACUCAGACCGUGUCGUGCCGUGCCUAACUUAUACCGUGUCCAAAACAUGCCCGUGCCGGAUUUUUUCAUGCCAUGCCCGUGCCGUGCUGGCAAGGCACGCUCGACACCUAGUUGCAAGAUUUGGCUUCAGAGGGAGAAUUUGAGUUUGAAUUUCUGUUAGUGUUUAUGACAGCUUAGCAUUCUAGGAUGUCUUGAUGCUUCACGUCCUGCAACUAGAACUAACACACAAACUAAUUUGUUUAUACAUUGCAUUACUGGGAGUAAAAUUUUCUUGUUUGAAGAUGUAAAAAAGAGCUUAGAAGUGUUUCACGGAGCAAAUAACCCCUAGACAAGAAAAGUUUUCUGAUAGCAGUUGAACCCUGUGCAUGCCCCAUAAUAGUCACCUCCUUCUCGUUCAUAAUUGGGCGCAGCCAAAUGCUCAAAAUGCAGGAAACUGAUAGGAAUGCUUAAUGUUCUGGUUAACCACGAAGUUCUGAUGGCCGAACAGAUCUGAAAUAGUAUAAACAGCUGUGGCCAUUGUUAUGGUCCUGAACUGGCUUCUGGAAUGAAUGUACUAUUGGGCGAACAUGGUGUUUUUGCUGUGACUUUUGAGCACGAAAGGAUGACAACACAGGCAUUGGUGCGGCCGGCAGUGGCGGAAGCCCCCCAGGAAAAAACUGCAGGGAGGAACCGUUGAUGGUGUUUUUCUAAGGGGGGCAGGAUAAUGUGGGUGGGGGGGGCAUUAUUGGAAAUUUUUUCCCAAAACUUAUAGUAAAAAAAUUUUUUUUUCCAACUUGAAGGGGGGCGUAACUGACCCCCUGGGCAGUCUUUCUCCCGCCCCUUUUUGGUGUCAGUCCUGAUAACACUUUCCUUACCCUGAAACCGGAAAAUUUUGUAUAUGCUUGAAAAUCUUAGUAUUCCAAAUACAUGCGUUUCUUGUUACCAGGGAAAAAAAGCAAUCAAGUUUACAUUUUCUGAUCUUAGGGAGAUUUGUUGGCAAUGGUUUUGUUUUUUUAUUUUUUUGGGUACAGGCCAAGGAAAUUGUUAAGCAUUGAACUUUGUUAAAUGAUCUUGGCUUCUUUCCGGAAGCUGAAAGUAAAAAUGAAAAAAGACUGAAAUCCAUGAGAAUAGAACUUGUGAAACAUCACAUGUGCAACCUGGUUGGGCUUAUAAAUAUGCACGUGAAUAUAUUGCAUUAAACCACUUAUCUGGUGAGUUUGAUUUUGGUUCUCCCAUGCCUUCAUCUAUUUGAACUUGGCUAGAUCCAUAUUGACGAAAUGAUGUUUGCUAGAUUUAUUUUUCUGGCAAUAAAAGCAUCUACUUCUUAUUGGCCAACAUACUAAGCAAUGUUUUCGUGCCUUUUAUGGGUCUCAUGUUCAAUCUCAGGUAUGCCUGUUUCAUCACCGCACUGUCAUUUAUGUUGCUAAGUUACUAGUAGGGCUCGACGAUUAUUUAGAGCCGGUUUUAGAUGUCUUCAUUUAGCAUUUGAAUUCUAGGGAAGUGAAAUUCUAUUUGAGUUGGCACUCUAAAAUGCUAGACUACAGUCUGGACUCUGGACAAUUACAGAAAUUGUGAGGAAACAUUAAACCUUGUGUAGUCAAGAGGGGACGCAGUAAAUAGGGUAUGAUCUUACAACAGGCUCUAUAUUCUUCUCUAGAAGAUACCAAUAUGUACGUCAGAAUUAUAACAAUGCCAAGUGGAAUUUGAGAAUAUAGCCAUUUGGUGUAUUUUUUCCAUACAGCAUCCACCCCUAGUUGUGUGCCACAUUCACACGUUCUAAUUGUGUACUGUCCCACCUUGUGAGUUGUGAGCCUAAUUCUAGCUUGAACUUUUGCGGUACUUGUCAAUUCAUUUUGGUUAACUUUUGGUCUUGUGGCUUAGUGGUAGAAUUACUUUUGGUUUGACCAUUGGAGUAUUAGGAUGAAUCCUUUCCAGGAACGUCCUUUCACAGUACAUUUAUACCAUCCCUUACUAACAGCAGUACUCAUAUAAUUGGAAUAUAGAAUUAUCAAUUGUUGGAGAAUAAUGAAGUAUUUCCUUCUUAAGGGCUGCCUUUUCAUUAUAAAGCAUUUCCAAGUGCUAACAACUGUUUCUCUACAGGCAGAGAAUGUGGUUGGCUAACAAGUCCAUUUAUUUAUUUCAUAGCCUACACUACACACUAUGAAGCAUGGACACCUCACCAGAGGUCACGAACUGGUGUUGGACACAUGUCAGAAACUGACACUGUUGACACACUUCAGACAUGUGUCUGACACGCAAAUCAAAAAUUAUUUCUGCCUGCUCAAGCGCGGAGCUUCUGGUUUCAUGUUGAGAUAAUGUUUUCAAGAAGGAUGGGAGUGAAAAAAAAAGUGUGAAGCUAUUGAGGACAGCUUUGACAAGGUAGCCUUCUUGUUUCUCUCGUAUCAAAUUCCGUUUUAAUAGAAUCUAUUGACUUUUAAUGGUAGUUUUAACUGGGCCUUUAAUUUCCGAGUUGUUUGCUUAUAUUGGCAAAAGAGACCUUUUUGCUGCAUUCUACAGGUAAGCUGUUUUCUUACAUUAUACGUUUCAACUUUGUCUUGGAUGGGGAUAUAGUUCUUUUUCCCUUCCAGUCUUUUAUUUCAAGGAGGCAAUAUUACUUAAAUUCCACUUGGAAGAUGUCUGGUUCUCCAAAUUAUAUCAACUUUAGACACCCAAGUAAGAGUGCCUUAACUGAUCCAACUAUGGGAGGAACAUGGCAACUUAAGAUGAGAUAAGUACUUGAAUCUUGAGAACCCUCUUUCCUUGUAAUUCCUUCGACUAAUGAUGUGUUGGAAUAGCUCCAUGUUGAGAUUAUCUUCAAAGUUCCUAGUGGCUACUAAAAUAAAUGAAGUGUUGAUCCAACAAAUGCUAUUUCUGGAUACUAGAUUGUUAAGAUACAUUCCAGUAAGAUAGAGAAGGGACUUUGUCCGUCAAGUGCAAGCAUUGCACUCCAUAACCAACUGGUUUAAGAUCUGCCCAACAGAUAAGAUCAUCCACUUGGGAAGAUGUCAGCUGCAGUGCUCGAAAUCCAUUCCAAGAUCAUUCCAGUGUCCAAAGGUACAAUAAGAUAGAUAAUUUGCACCUGAGACGUGCCAAAAUGAAGUUUCGCAUUAGGGAUGAGUAUGCAAAAACGAUAGAGUAGGUACUAGUCGUGGCUUGUAGAAAAGCGAUACACCAUAUGAUAUAAUGCUCAACAAAGAAAAAUGAUGUCCAGUGUUUUACGUGUUGUUAAUGUUUCAAGAUGAAGUUUUUUCUAAAUGAGAAUAAUACAGCUGUGUUUGCUAUCUGCUGGUCAUUUCCGUACAAUGAAAUUUAUCCCUCCACCACACAACACCACCCAAAAAAGAGUCACAUUUGAAACUUUGACACGAAAUUUUGCCAAGUUUACCAAUGACAAUGAGUUUUGACAAUGUGAAAGCCCAUCAAGUAGAAUGAGUUACAACUGCAGUGACCUUGUUCAAGUAUCAUUUUUUUCCUCAACAAUUUAUCUUUAUGGGAUGGAGGGAUAUUUAGAUGGUCGAAGAUCACCAGAGGUGGGGGAGAGAAUUGAGGCAAUCUUAGGAGAGAAAGGGCAGCAGUGGAGAUCUUUGAUAUCAACGGAGGGGAGCGGUUUGCCUAAGUUGGCAGAACCUCUCUUAUCUAAGAUGAGUCAAUGUGGGUCACGGAGUCGUGGACCUAGAGAAUUUCUCAACUCUAGCUUCCAAGCCACAAGUCCUCGAGUGAUCCCAAGUGGUGGAGUCCAUGUUGUCUUGGAGCUAUGUGUCAUGGAUCUCGCUUUGCUGAUCUUUUUUAGAGGAGAAAGUGGGUGAGAUAUGUGGGCUGACAUCCGGGAGAUAGAAAGAGUUGUUGUCACUUGGCGGAGCCUUCUGCAACCAAUUUAUUCUUACUAUCCAGAAAAUAAUCCACUUAGUGGUUUGGGUGCAAUAUGAUCCAUUAGUAUAAGCAUGACUUGUUAGCUCUAAAAGUUAUGUAUCUGGAUAAAGCCUACUAAUUGAUAAAGCUUUCCUUAGCUUGGUCUGCGAAAGUCACCAAUUUCUUGGUUCUCCUGAUUGAGACUUCGUCUAUAAUGCUUUCAUGUGAAAUUUUCCUUUAUGCCAGGCUUCAUGCUUUCCUUCCUUGUUCCAAGACUCCAAAAAAUACCCUCUCGAGAGCCCUCUCAAACUUAUCAAAGACAAUGGAAAUUCUUUAGCAUGAUGCUGCUGACAUGUGCCAAGUAUGCAUAAAAUUAGAGCGAUUUAGACACAGAACUUUGCACUGCAGACAUCCCUAUCAAAUAUCCUGAUAAUCCCUAGUUGUUUUGACUUGUGAUAGAGCAUCCAAAAAUAUUUGCAUCAAAAUUAUGGUAUUUUUGGAACCCAUUAUUUACAUCAGUGAAACAAUGCAAAACAGAGAGGUGGAUUAUGCCCAACAUUUCACAAAGAGUCCUUAGCCCAUCAUUUCUCUCAUUAUCACACAAUCACAGUUUCUAGUGUUUCCUUACUCGACAAACAGUGCCCACAACUCUAUUCUUAACUUGGAGAUCAGUUAUUUUCAAAUUGCCAAAACUCGCCAUUCUCAACCACAGAAAUUUAAGCCUCUCUUAUUUUUGGGAUCAUAGAACUUUCAACCAAAGUAAAACAUCCAUCCAAAAUGCAACAAUCCCUGCUCUUCAUAAAGCAUUUAAAAGAUCAACUAAUAGACAUAAGAGUCGAAACUACAUUCCAAUGUUUCUUUGAGAGUAUGCCUUGGUACCAUGGAGGGUGACCCAGUGCCGUAUGUGGUUUGGUUAUAUUUACUCGUGGAUUUAGCUUGUUCUCUUGCAUGUGAAGAAGUGACAACGACACUCAUUGUCCUAUGACAUGCUCCACACAUACAUGCCCCCCUAGGUUACAUCAUACAUGAAUUCGGGCAGUGUCGAGCAGUGGCGGAGCCAGGAAAAAAUUUCAGGGGGGCAACUAUUGAAAUUUUUUUUGGAGGGGGGCAUUUAUAAUUUUGAGGGGGGCAAAUUGAAAUUUUUUCCUAAAACUAUAGGCUAAAAAAAAAUUCAAAAACUUGAGGGAGGGCAGCUGACCCCCUGGGCCUUCAUUGGCUCCGCCCCUGGUGUCGAGUGUAUGGUUACGUGUCUAAGUGUCAAAUUCAUCUAAUUCCACGUCAAGGACACAGGGACACGGCUGCAUAUAUUCAUAUUCCUCUCUAUAUGUAUAUUCUGUAAUUUAGGAUUUAAUGGUACUUACAAAGUGACAUGAAGCUUUUCACACACAAUAUGAGAGUUUUAUGCACCGUUUUAUAAGUGACUGAAAUUAUUAAAGGUGAAUGUCCAACUACGUCGGAUAGAUAUCAUAUACGCUGAUUGUUUUUGUAUCCUGCGCCGCCACUUGUACAUGUAGAAAAGUAUACGUAAGAUAGGUGCACACAAUACACAAAUAUACCAUAUAUUCUUGGAAAUUGAUUUCUGCACUCCUACUUUUACAAAAUUUGGAGUGCAGAAAUCAAUUUCCUAUAUUCUUUCCCCUUAGCAAUUUUGCACUGUAUACAAUUGUUGCAAACUCCCCGUGACCCAAUUGUUGCCAUCCAUUUGUCACAAUCAGUUUUUUUAUAGGAGUAGCUUUUCUGUUGUCCCAAAAUGUUGCUAUUUUGGAAGAUUAUGUGGAUUAUUGGUACCCUCUAUAA
rnacentral:lncRNA from 1 species